rnacentral:rRNA from 1 species
UACGAAGGGGGCUAGCGUUGUUCGGAAUUACUGGGCGUAAAGAGCUCGUAGGCGGCCUGUUGCGUCCGCUGUGAAAGCCCGGGGCUUAACCCCGGGUCUGCAGUGGAUACGGGCAGGCUAGAGGUAGGUAGGGGAGAAUGGAAUUCCCGGUGUAGCGGUGAAAUGCGCAGAUAUCAGGAGGAACACCGGUGGCGAAGGCGGGUCUCUGGGCCGAUACUGACGCUGAGGAGCGAAAGCGUGGGUAGCAAACAGG